AACGCUAGCUACAGGCUUAACACAUGCAAGUCGCGGGGUAACAAGAGGGAAGCUUGCUUUCCUUGUCGACGACCGGCGCACGGGUGAGUAACGCGUAUCCAACCUGCCCAUUACCACGGGAUACCCCGUCGAAAGGCGGCCUAAUACCGUAUGCAGUCGUCAGAUGACAUCAGAGGACGACGAAAGGAUUGGCGGUAAUGGAUGGGGAUGCGUCUGAUUAGGUAGUUGGAGGGGUAACGGCCCACCAAGCCAUCGAUCAGUAGGGGUUCUGAGAGGAAGGUCCCCCACAUUGGAACUGAGACACGGUCCAAACUCCUACGGGAGGCAGCAGUGAGGAAUAUUGGUCAAUGGGCGCGAGCCUGAACCAGCCAAGUAGCGUGAGGGAUGACGGCCCUAUGGGUUGUAAACCUCUUUUAUGCGGGAAUAAAAUGUUUGACGUGUCAUACAUUGUAGGUACCGCAAGAGUAAGGACCGGCUAAUUCCGUGCCAGCAGCCGCGGUAAUACGGAAGGUCCAGGCGUUAUCCGGAUUUAUUGGGUUUAAAGGGAGCGUAGGCCGCAAGUCAAGCGUGCUGUGAAAUGCAGGGGCUCAACCUCUGGAUUGCAGCGCGAACUGGCAUGCUUGAGUACGCACGAGGUAGGCGGAAUUUGUGGUGUAGCGGUGAAAUGCUUAGAUAUCACGAAGAACUCCGAUUG
rnacentral:rRNA from 1 species